rnacentral:rRNA from 1 species
GAUGAACGCUGGCGGCGUGCCUAAUACAUGCAAGUCGAGCGAGCAGACGAGGAGCUUGCUCCUCUGACGUUAGCGGCGGACGGGUGAGUAACACGUGGAUAACCUACCUAUAAGACUGGGAUAACUUCGGGAAACCGGAGCUAAUACCGGAUAAUAUAUUGAACCGCAUGGUUCAAUAGUGAAAGACGGUUUUGCUGUCACUUAUAGAUGGAUCCGCGCCGCAUUAGCUAGUCGGUAAGGUAACGGCUUACCAAGGCAACGAUGCGUAGCCGACCUGAGAGGGUGAUCGGCCACACUGGAACUGAGACACGGUCCAGACUCCUACGGGAGGCAGCAGUAGGGAAUCUUCCGCAAUGGGCGAAAGCUUGACGGAGCAACGCCGCGUGAGUGAUGAAGGUCUUCGGAUCGUAAAACUCUGUUAUUAGGGAAGAACAAAUGUGUAAGUAACUAUGCACGUCUUGACGGUACCUAAUCAGAAAGCCACGGCUAACUACGUG